AUAUUUUAACACAAAAAAGAACAAUUAAACACAAAAUACACCCACAGUAAAAGUACUGCAGUAUUAUAGUGAUGUAAAGAAAAAACAAAGUUCUGAUACACAAAUGUGUUUUCAGUUUUUUGACUUUUUCUCUAAUCUUUGAUUUUUGCUGAAAUAUUGGAUCAUUUGAACAUUUAUUGAAAUGAAACCAUGUGAGAAGUUUAGAGGGAAAAAUCUGAGUCUGAGACAGAUCUGCUUCACAGUGCAGAGUGUGUGUGAUGUUUGAUUUCAGCAGCUGAUCUUCAGUCAGCAGAAGAGACUCUCCCUCCUACAGAGGAACCAGAGAGACUGAGGAAUCAGAUGACAAGGACCCAAAUCCAAACCCAAACCCAGCAUACAGAGGUUCAGUGAAUGUGGUGUUGAAGGUGUGGAGGUGGAUCAGCGUGUCAGAGGAGACUCUGUAGAAGGACAGAGUGCCAGCAGGACAGUCCACAUACACUGCUACUCUGUUAGAGACAGAGGAGGAGGAGGAGGAGG